GUGCGUCCAUUUGUGCUCGAAACAAUUUUUAACAUAAUUGCGCCUUUCCUCUUCCUGGGCACAUGUAUAUCUCUCUGUCAUCGCGUUACACCGGAAUUAUUAUGAAUAACAAGGAACCGCAAUAAUGACCGUUACGACGUUUUCAAAGGAGACAGUUGGUUUUUUGGUUGUGGUCAAACGCGACUUGAUCUACUUGAGAAAUGAGAACUAUAACAAAUGGAAUUAAAUGCAUAAUACAAAUAGAAACAAUACGGAGAUAGAUAUUUUUCAGGGACGUUAGUUGAUACGACGAGAUUUCUUUUAGAAGAGUAUCCGACUUAUAGAGAACAACACGCGUGAGUUUACCAUUAUAAAUUUGUGAAGAGCAAAUAAAAGUCCUAUACACUAACGUUUUCGGGAUCUGCUCCUCCUCCUACCACGAAACUUAUGUAGCGUUUGACCAUACCAAGCGAACAAGUCGUAAAAUACUGAGAAAAGAUUCUCCCGUCUCAUGGGCAGCUUUUUACGAAGGCGCGUGAACAGCGGUAGGGCCAGUAUGGGUCUAUUAACACGGUUUCAUCGUCGACACAAAUCUUCCAUUUCGGUGGAAAAAGUAAGCUGGCGGUAGCAUCGAGCACGUGCUGCCGUCACGAUAAAAAAAUGUCUUCUCUUCCUGCCAUUCGAAUUUCUACUGAUGUUUCUUUCACGUAUCAUUAGGAAACGAUACAUUAAACGUUGUACAGAAGUCAGGAACUCGCCGUUCUGUACUCAUGGCAUACACACACAAUCGAACGACAUUUCCUUCGUGUUACGGUUAUGUGCGCGACGAAUAACAACUACACACGUUCGAGCUUCUAUCUCGUGUACCGGCUACAAAUAAACCAGCCUCGAUAACCACGUUCGCCUAUUUCGUUAAACAAACAAAACUGUCCUCUAGCAGCUGGCACGCGUCGCCUCUUUGCUUUUCCAGCAAAGACGGAGAAAGUUUCGCGCUUCGAGCGGUCCUAUUUGCAGGCUGGAUCUCGUGUAUAUAACCGGUGCUGUUGUGCCGUGCGUACGGCGACGUUUGCGCACGUGUGUGCGUCACGUUUAACAGAAUCGAGGGACGGUUAAUAGCGAAACGCUUCUUCCUUCCCAUCGCGACGAGGCAGCAGCAACAGCAGCAGCGGCAACACGCAGCAUCACGCGCGCCACAGUUCGCGUCGCGCCGGUUACGCGACGCUGCAGCUAACGACCUGGAUAACCAGCCGUGAUGUUUCCAAAGUAACGUCAUCGUUCGCCGCGAUGCGACACGAGGCGACGAGUCUGACGACGGAGUCGCUCAUUACAACUUCCGGUCCAGGAGAGCGAGCCAGAAAGAGAGCGGCCCGAGGGAAUGAGAAAGAUGGAGAGAGACAGAGAUCUCGAGCGGCGAUGGUGGGGACAAGAGAAUCAGCAGAACAGCGCGGCGGACCAACUGGUCGACGGAAUGAGACAGAGAGCGCGAGCGUGAGUAAGAUGGACGGUGGGGAGGGAGAGAAGGAGCGAGAAUCGAGCGAAAAUGCUCAACAAAUAGCCACAUCCUCAUAAUGGAACGGCGUAUCAAACUCAUUAGACAUCAUUAUCGAAUCGACACGAUUACGUUCCGCAGAAAGAUCCGAUCUUCCCGUUAAAAACGAACGAUCGGCUCGGAUAGACGCUUGAUCGUCAUCAUGAGCGCUGAUACGACGCGCGUACACACGCCGUACGUUGAGAAGUCAGCGCAUUAGGCAUACACGCUAAAGACACUCUCUGCAUCCGUCGAGAAAUUUAGGCGUACGAGAGUGCGGGAACCCAGUCGCGCUAGAGCAAUGAUUCAUGCCAGGUAUGUUAAACUGGUUCCGAGCGGACUGCAGCCGCUGGAAAAAAGGCUCGUAGCCCGAUCUACGAGACACAAUGCAACGUUAGAGAGAAAACAGCUACGUGGACGUAUGUAGAUCCGCAACCCCGACCCCGCUCCCGUCAAAGGGUGGAGUGGUUGGGAAAGCAGGAAGCGAACGGAUUUUAUGUAAGAAAGGAAAAUCAUAAUGCACAACUAUACGUGUCUAUUCGAGGAAAAUGAUUGGAAACGUCAACGAGAAAUCCGAGAUUCGCGUUACGAUUUCUUCGUAUUAUACCCCUUGCUUCGUCAUAUAAUUUUCUGCAUAGUACAGUGCCCAGGAUAAAUUUCCAGAUAAACGAUUCUGCACGUUAUAUUAUUAUAGACGUAACCUUGCUUCUAAUCGAUGGUUCUAUACGAGUGUUGGCUGAUUUAAAAAAAUACCAACGACUAAUUUCACGUAGUAAAAAUACCGGCCUCGUAAUAUAUAAUAAAUGAGAAUAUCGAUCUAAACGUGGGUACGGCGUAAUCGUUCGAUGAGUACGCGCUGCGUACGCCACGCAGAAGCAUCGAGUCAGUGCUUACUCGCGCGCGUUUCGGUCGCACGACACGCCAGCGGUUCUCAAUCUGAAGAUUACGGCGUGUAAGAGGAUGCGAGAAAGCUCGGCCGAACGGAAGACACGAUAAGCACGUACGGAAAUCCGUAGCGGGUUCUGAAUUUAAAACACGAACAGUCUUGACACCGUUCUAAGUGUCCGAGUCUAAUGUUAUUGGACGGUCAAUAUUAGCGCGCUUCACGUGAUGAGCGACGAGCACCAUACGGCUUCCUUUUACACGCCACCGUUUUCCCUCCUAUCGAGGAAUGCUUUAGGCAUCGCUGGAACGACGGCGUUGCCAGGGUCUGCAGGUACGAAAGAAACGAAGUUAUACUCGGUAUGCAAUAUGGACCGAUGCGUGCCUUGUGGAUAAAAAUGGUCGGCGUAAAUUUCUCUCACCUUGAAACUACAUAGUUCGAUGGGAAGACGAUUCGUCGAAGGAUCGCGUGUACGCUUUUGACAUUUCGUGGAUUGCCGUGCGUUAGCCCCGAUUUCCCUAUGAGCGAAUCCUGCGACACCCCAGACGAAUUUAAAGCUUUUAUGAAACGAGAGGGGUCGACCAAUGACUAAGGGUAAAAUACGAAGAAAGAGACAGACAGAAAGAGAACUGUAGAAAUAGUAGGGCGGUAGAGGACGGAGUGAGCAAAUUGAAAAGUGGAGGAACGAGGAGGGAACAGGACGACGAAAAAGGACGUAGAAAAGGGAGCACGCGGCGAAGAAGAAGAAAAGGCUCGCUUUUCAGACGGUUCAAUAGAUUUCGAUCUGAGCGACUUUUUUCUGAGCUCGAAACGAAACGACGAACAAUGGGCCAGACGGAAACCAUGGCCGAGCUUGAAGACUUCCCGUGUGUACGAUUCCACGUGCACAUGUGUAUGCACAAGGGAUAGAAUAAUCGUGUGCGUGUACAUCUGGAUCGACCGGGUCCUGAACGAGAACGGAAGUUUAAUGACUUCAAGUGUCGGUGAAAAUCAGGAUCAGCUGGGGGCUCGUGUUCCGCGCGCUUUGUCGCUUGAUGACGUAAAAAGAAAUACAGAACCCUUGUCCGAAGGUUACGAAAGUUCAUCCGGUGCCGAAUGAAACGCGAGGAUGAAGCAGAAAUAUCUAAUACAGGAAUUUUUCAUUUUUAUGCAUAUACCUGGAAACGCGAAGCUGGUAAAGCGGCCAGUUCUCUCCUAUCCGUUGCUCCCGUCUGGUGGGCCCACGAGAGAGAAAGUCAGUCGACAUCGAUUACGUAUAGCAGUUGGGAGUCGAAGGUCCCCCAGCUGUUCUUCCGUGGAGAGCGAUGGACCAACGCCUCCUUUGAAAGGCCUCUUGCAAGCUGAUGAUGUUUAUCCGCUGGAUCUCGCCGAAAUUGAUUGUUUCCUCCCGACUGUAAAAAACGAAACGUUCGAUGUAUAUAAAAAAGAAGGAAGGAAAAAAGAGAUGGGGAAACUAAGAAGAAAAGAAGGAAAUAUAUCGUUUCACGGUUGUAACAAUAAGCCUAUAAGGUACAUUUUACAUACAUAUAUUCUAGCAUUUUACCAUUGCUGAAGCGAUAAUAACAUUAUAAAAUAUUUAUCGAAGCAAUGCAAUAUUGCAAUGAUAAGAUUAACAGAAUUCUUUGUUCCAAACAUCGUAAUUCCUGAAUGUUUCCAAACCGUAUUAUGAAUCCAUUGUAAUUUCGAGUUAA